UAUCCUGGCUCAGGAUGAACGCUGGCGGCAUGCCUAACACAUGCAAGUCAACGGGGUUUAUAUGACGGAGCUCUCCGGAGGGAAGAUAUAUAAACCUAGUGGCGGACGGGUGAGUAACGCGUGGGCAACCUGCCCUGUACCGGGGGACAACAGCCAGAAAUGGCUGCUAAUACCGCAUAAGCCUGCUGUGCCGCAUGGCACAGCAGGGAAAACCACGGUGGUACAGGAUGGGCCCGCGUCUGAUUAGUUAGUUGGCAGGGUAACGGCCUACCAAGACAACGAUCAGUAGCCGGCUUGAGAGAGUGGACGGCCACAUUGGGACUGAGACACGGCCCAGACUCCUGCGGGAGGCAGCAGUGGGGAAUAUUGCACAAUGGGGGAACCCUGAUGCAGCAAUGCCGCGUGGGUGAAGAAGCACUCCGGUGCGUAAAGCCCUGUCAGCAGGGAAGAAAAUGACAGUACCUGGACAAGAAGCCCCGGCUAACUACGUG
rnacentral:rRNA from 1 species